AGAGUUUGAUCCUGGCUCAGGAUGAACGCUGGCGGCGUGCUUAACACAUGCAAGUCGAACGGACCCUUCGGGGUUAGUGGCGGACGGGUGAGUAACGCGUGAGGAUCUGCCCUUAGGAGGGGAACAACAGUUGGAAACGACUGCUAAUGCCCCAUAUGCCGAGAGGUGAAAUGUUAUAUCGCCUAGGGAUGAACUCGCGUCUGAUUAGCUAGUUGGUAGUGUAAUGGACUACCAAGGCGACGAUCAGUAGCUGGUCUAAGAGGAUGAUCAGCCACACUGGGACUGAGACACGGCCC
rnacentral:rRNA from 1 species